rnacentral:miRNA from 1 species
CUGAAGCAAGAAGAUCUCCUCAGGCUGUGACACUCUAAAUGGAAGCACUGUCUGUGUUCUAAGAAAAGAUCGUGCAGCCCUUUAGAGUGUUACUGUUUGAGAAAAGCAACGGUGAAG